GUGUGAGAUGGGAUGCGAAGCGAAGCAGGUUGACAGAAGAGAGUGAGCACCCGCCGGAGGUAAAUGGCAUGACAGGGUGCUGUUUCCGUUGCGUGCUCAAAUCUCUUGUUGUCAACCUUUCGCUGUUAUUUCUUCCGUGAUCAUACUUGGAAAUACGCUCCCCUCCCCACCCGAGAAGAGAGAGAGGGAGAAAGAGAGUCAUUGAACCUGUCUCACCACACCCCCCGAGGCUGUCUUUUACUUGUGUGUUUCGGCUGUCGCGUUGCGAUGUUUUUUGCUUUGCUUCGCCGUCUGUCUUAUCGUAUCUGCCAAUCAGCUCGUCGGAUUUGUGUGGGUGAAGAAGCGCGUGCUUAAUUGCCUCUCUGGUUUUCUCUCUCUCUUUUCAUUAAUGCUUAUAUUGCUCUAGAAAUUGGGAAAUUGUAAGAAUAAGCGUGUCUGUUGAAAAGGGAGGUAAGAGAGAGAGAGAGAGAGAGAAAGAGACAGGGAGGGAAGAGGGAGUAGUAUUGUCCGUCUCUGUCCUGUUAGUAAUGAAGCCUCUGAGAGAGAGAGAGAGAGAAUAGAAAGAGUACAGUACUACACAUUGAAGCACGCGGUGCCGCCUCAUCGGAAGGCACUGUUUGACCAAUUCUACUCUCCUUCCCGGUGUUCUCCUAUCUUUUCUGUCGUCCUUCUUGCUUUUGCUUUCCUCUCCUCUACUUUUCUCUUGCCUGUUGCGGAUAGGGUUUUGAGCGUUUCAACAAAACAUGGAUUCAAGCUGUGAGGAUCCGUGGAGUGAAGGUGCUCCCCGAGGUUCAUGCCCACCAUCGUCCAUUCCUGGCCAUCUAACUCUGUUUUCUUUCGUUUGCGCUCGAGACCAUUCCCUCACCACCUUGAUGGGCUGUUGCUUUGCCAACUUGAACAAAGACUCGCUGCUCCGACGAGCGGAAAGGGGUGAGCUUUGUUGCCCUUCCCCAUGCCUGAUCGAUUCAUCUCGACAAGCUUUUGUGGAAAGAAGCCAAUGAAUCAUCGCUGGAAGAAGAAAUAGAGCUAUCAAACAGAGGAAGAGUAAGACAAGCUUCAAUCUUCUAUAUUUCUCUCAAGAAAGCUCUUUACAAUUUCAAAAACUCUAUCUGUUUCAUGACCCAAUAUUUGGGGUUUAUAUAGUCC